GCCAUAUCCAACUCAGUUGGUAGAGCAUGAGGCUCAUAAUUUCAGGGUUGUGGGUUUGAGCCCCACAUUUGGCA